GAGUCGUAACAAGGUUUCCGUAGGUGAACCUGCGGAAGGAUCAUUAAUGAGAUCAUGCCCUUCGGGGUAGACCUCCCACCCUCUGUAUACAAUACCUUUGUUGCUUUGGCGGCCCCGUCGCAAGACAACCGGCUCCGGCUGGUCAGCGGCCGCCAGAGGAAUCAAAACUCUUAUUAUUAAUUGUCGUCUGAGUACUAUAUAAUAGUUAAAA
rnacentral:misc_RNA from 1 species